rnacentral:rRNA from 1 species
AUUGAACGCUGGCGGCAUGCUUUACACAUGCAAGUCGAACGGUAACAGGCCGCAAGGUGCUGACGAGUGGCGAACGGGUGAGUAAUGCAUCGGAACGUGCCCAGUCGUGGGGGAUAACGCAGCGAAAGCUGCGCUAAUACCGCAUACGAUCUAUGGAUGAAAGCGGGGGACCGUAAGGCCUCGCGCGAUUGGAGCGGCCGAUGUCAGAUUAGGUAGUUGGUGGGGUAAAGGCUCACCAAGCCGACGAUCUGUAGCUGGUCUGAGAGGACGACCAGCCACACUGGGACGGAGACACGGCCCAGACUCCUACGGGAGGCAGCAGUGGGGAAUUUUGGACAAUGGGGGCAACCCUGAUCCAGCAAUGCCGCGUGCAGGAAGAAGGCCUUCGGGUUGUAAACUGCUUUUGUACGGAACGAAACGGCUCUGGUUAAUACCCGGGGCUAAUGACGGUACCGUAAGAAUAAGCACCGGCUAACUACGUGCCAGCAGCCGCAGUAA